UGAGUAAUAUAUCGGAACGUGCCCAGUCGUGGGGGAUAACGUAGAGAAAUUUACGCUAAUACCGCAUACGAUCUAAGGAUGAAAGCGGGGGAUCGCAAGACCUCGCGCGAUUGGAGCGGCUGAUAUCAGAUUAGGUUGUUGGUGAGGUAAAAGCUCACCAAGCCGACGAUCUGUAGCUGGUUUGAGAGAACGACCAGCCACACUGGGACUGAGACACGGCCCAGACUCCUACGGGAGGCAGCAGUGGGGAAUUUUGGACAAUGGGCGAAAGCCUGAUCCAGCAAUGCCGCGUGCAGGAAGAAGGCCUUCGGGUUGUAAACUGCUUUUGUACGGAACGAAAAGGUCUGCCCUAAUACGGCGGGCUCAUGACGGUACCGUAAGAAUAAGCACCGGCUAACUACGUGCCAGCAGCCGCGGUAAUACGUCGGGC
rnacentral:rRNA from 1 species